UUUAAAUCCAAAAUUAUCUCAUUCGAGUUGUUUCUCAUAAAGGGACUUGCUGCAUUGCCCAACCACUGCACCAGGGUUUUGAUUUGCUUCUUCGUUAUCUUUUCUUCAAAGAGAGCUCAUAUAGAAUAAUAUCCGAAUGUUCAUGGACGACGAGGGGAUGAGAUCGCACCGAGCCUAUUGGCGUCGAUAGAGGAUUCAAUGGCAUUGAUCACGUCGUCCAGGCAGUGCUUGGAAGAGAUGGCGAAGAUCGUGGAGUGCCAGCGGCUGAUGCUUCCGGUGUUCUACGAAGUGGAUCCCUCCGAUGUACGGCCCCUUUGAAGCUGACUUCUAGAUGCUCGAGCAACGUUUUGGAACGGAAAAGGUCUUGGUAUGGAGAGCAGCUAUGACGAAACCUGGUGGAAUUGUUGAUUGGGAUUCCAAAAACUGCAUCCUCAGACACCUCAGCAGUCCAAGUUACAUUGGGCACCUUAGGUCACUUAGCUAAGACCGAGGCCCAAGCAGCUUGUCACACACCGACCUAUCGAGAUGCCACGUAGCCUUCUUCUAGAAGCGAGCUAGCUGUCUCCGAUCUCCUCGGGAUCACGUUGCACGCCAACGGAUCUUACCGCUAUCCUGCCCGAAUCGGACGAACUUGGAUAAGCCUUAUUAGCUUGCAUGGAGCCCAUCUUCUGGUGCAGAACUGACUCUGGAGUAUGCAGGCCAGUGAUCUCGGACAAGUUUCGGGAGGUCCACGGCAGCUCGCCUAUAUAAGGGCAUCGUUUUUAGCCUCGCAAGGUACGCGCGAUUUAGCUCUCUCACUAGCAUUCUAAUCUCUCAGCUCUCUUAAAACCUCCAAUGCUAAGUUAAGCAUUGGGGUGCCCGCACCAGGUAAAGCACCCCGGGACCUCUGAUCUACUUGUCUUGUAGUUCGACCUGGCCACGUAGCAGACUGGCGUCUGAGUUGCCUUCUAGCAGGGAGCAACUAGA